rnacentral:rRNA from 1 species
CCUACGGGAGGCUGCAGUGGGGAAUAUUGCACAAUGGGCGCAAGCCUGAUGCAGCCAUGCCGCGUGUGUGGAGAAGGCCUUCGGGUUGUAAAGCACUUUCAGCGGGGAGGAAGGCGGUGAGGUUAAUAACCUCAUCGAUUGACGUUACCCGCAGAAGAAGCACCGGCUAACUCCGUGCCAGCAGCCGCGGUAAUACGGAGGGUGCAAGCGUUAAUCGGAAUUACUGGGCGUAAAGCGCACGCAGGCGGUCUGUCAAGUCGGAUGUGAAAUCCCCGGGCUCAACCUGGGAACUGCAUUCGAAACUGGCAGGCUAGAGUCUUGUAGAGGGGGGUAGAAUUCCAGGUGUAGCGGUGAAAUGCGUAGAGAGCUGGAGGAAUACCGGUGGCGAAGGCGGCCCCCGGGACAAAGACUGACGCUCAGGUGCGAAAGCGUAGGGAGCAAACAGGAUUAGAUACCCCUGUAGUC